GUCAAAGAAUGUAGAUGAAGAACCUUCCAAAGAGCUGUUUUAGCUUUGUGUUCUUAGUGUUUGGUACAGUAUGUGACACCCCCUAGGUGAAACUGAAUUACUUUUUGGCCAUCUAAUAACCAUUCUCCAUUGAAAAGUAAGACUCCAAAUGGCCUUUGGGAAACCACCUCUAACCCACUCUCAGUCAUGGUAUUUGGGUGAGAAUGACUCCUAAUCACCCCCUAGCUACAGGGGUGGAUGGUAAUGAUUUGAUUCAUCUCCUCAGUAUCCUAUUUCCCUUGUCACAGCAAAUGGUCAUAAAUGGGCAUGUAAGUCAGUCCAAGCCAAAGAAAACCAAGGAGAAAUUUGCUGGAAUUUGGCAGGAGGAAAUUUCAUUUCCCCUUGGAAAUACCAGUAGGCACACUUACACUUCUCUUAGAUGGGGCCCUGUGAGAAUGUGAGGGCUGGAACUACUGCAGCCAUUUUGCAAUUAUUAAAAGAGCAUGAAAGAGAAUAGAGGGGGAGGAAAAGUCUUUGGUGACAUCAGCUGCUUGUUGUGUAAGCCCAUGAAUUGAGUCUUGUCUGAAGCCAGUCUUACUUUUGGACUUUUCAGUUAUACAGCUCCCACAUUUUUUUUUUAAAGUAUGUGUUACUUUUUUUUUGGUCACUGGUAACACAAAAAGCCCUGAUACAGUGAAUGUUUAAUAAAUAUUGUUAGGAAAACAUUUGCAGUUUAUUUUACGUAAAAUGGGUGCAUAACACUAAUACGUAAAAAGAUAUUAGAUACAGUUUAGAAAAGGCAACAACCUGACGGAAAAGCAAGUAGAGUGUAGACAGUUCACUGAAAAAGAAAUAGAAAUAGCUCUUAGCCAUAUUUAAAGAAAAAGCUUAAACUGGCUCAGUUUAAAAGAUAUACAAAUUAAAACUACAUUGAGAUACAAUAUCUCACCUAUUAGAUUGACUAAAAUCCAAAUGUUUAACAAUGCAUUUGAUGAGGUUCUGGGUUAAUAGGCACUUUACUGCAUUUCUGCUUGGAAUACAAAUUGUCAUAACACCCAUGGAGUAUUUGUUGGCAAUAUCCAGCAAAUUUACAUAUGAAUUUUCCUUUGUCUGAGUAAUCUAGGCCAAAGCUAUACAGGCAAACAAUUUUUUUAAUUAAAAAAAAAGGAUUAUAUGGACAAGGCUAUUUAUUGUGCUGGUUGAAUUUAAACAAUAAUACAUCUACUCAAUAGAGUACUCUGUAGCUGGAGAAAAGGAUGAGGAAUAUCUCUAUAUCUUAAUAUAUCCAAUAUAUCAAUAUUAAGUGAAAAGGCAAGGUAGGGAAAAAUGUAUAUAGUAGGCAAGCAGUUGAUUAAGAAGGAGGUUAUAUGAAUACAUAGAUUGAUAUUUGUUUAUUUGUUUUAAAUGGAGGCUAAAGUUUAUACUUUUUGAAAAAUGGUCACCUAAGGAGGAGGAAGUAGGGUGGGGACAGAUAUCAAAGCUAGACUUUUUGAUAUACCCUUGAUUGAGGAUCCAUUAAAUAUUUUACAUAGUUAUAAAUCAAAAUUAAAUUUAAAAGGCAGCUCCUAAAACCCAAAAGUGAGAUAAAAUAGUUCUUUUGGUGGCAUAAAGUAACUUUUUCAAGUUACUUUAAAACACAGUCAUUUGACUGUACAUCCUAGGGACAAAAACAAAGCACAAACUUUGUCAUCAAAGGAUCCAAAAUCUAGGUGAUGUUACUAUAAUUAAAAUAAGAAAUUAAGACUUCCACUUCUGGAAAGAUGGAGUAGAUGUUCAUUUCCCUAUUCCUCCCACUAAGUACAGCUAAAAUCCCUGAACAUUAUAUAUAUACAAGCAUAAGAAGACUCUGAAAGGUGAAGAGAAGAAGGCAGAUUGGCCAUGGACCUCAGGAUCUAAGGAACAACAUAGCAGUGAGUUCCCUGCGUUUUCUUUUUGCCUCAUGUAUCCUGCCAGAAAUGCUAGCCAGCAUAGACAUAAAAGCAGCAAGAAAAGCCUAGUCCCUCUAGCCAAGGGCUCAGCAAAGGGGCAGCCUCGGAAGACAGACAACUCGCAGAAACCUCUGCUCAAGUCAAACGUCAUCCCACCCCCAACAGCCAAGGCUGAGUGCGGAGCCCAGACCCCCAACCUUGCCUGCCUGCUUGUUGCAAGUCAUCCCUCAUGCUGCCCCUGACCAGGGUGGUAAAAGAGUUGGACAACCAGGGAGCUGAAACUUUACCAUCGGCAGUAACAAGGACUCUCCCUGCCAUGUUGUCAGUGGAGGUCACUUGGGGAGUAGUAACUAGGCACUCCUAUCCCCAUGACGAUGUCAAUGGAGGCCAAGUGGAGAAUGUGGACUUCAACCCCACUGGGCACUAAGCAGGUGGCAUCCACCUUCUCUUGCUGGUGUGGUUUCAGAGGAGGCCUGCUAAAACAGAAGAUUCAAAUAAGAACCAGAGUAUCAUAACAUAACGUCCAACAGGUCUAGGAUUCAAGCAAAACUCAUUCACCUUACCAAGAACCAGGAAAGUCUCAACUUGAAUGAGAAAAGACAAUCAGUAGAUACCAACACCAAGAUGACCUAGAUGUUAUAAUUAUCUGACAAAGAUUUUUAAAGCAACUAUGAUAAAAAUGCUUUAACGAGCAUUUAUGAACAUAUUUGGGAAAAAAAUUCAGCAAAAAGUUGAAUAUAGAAAGGAAAACCAAAGCUGAAAUAAAAAACUCAGUUGAUGGGCUCAAAAGCAAAAUGGAGAAGACAGAGAAAUGUUUCAGCAAACUUGAAGAUAGAAAUUACCAAAUCUGAAUAACAGGGAGAAAAUAGACUGGGGGGAAAAAAAAAAAAGAACACAGCCAAAGGGACUUGUAGGACUAUAACAAAUAUGUAACAUUCAUGUCCGAGAAAGAGUGGGACUAAAAUAAAUAAUAAUGACUAAAAAUUUCCCAAAUUUGGCAAGAGACAUAAACAUACAUAUUCAAGAAGCUGAGAAAACCCCAUACAGGAUGAACCCAAAGAAAUACAUACCAAAACAAAUCAUAAUCAAACUUCUGAGCACUAAAGACAAAGAAAACUUUUGAAAGCAGCCAAAGAAAAAUGACACCUUACCUGUAGGAGAAAAACAGUUCAUUUGAGAAUUCAAGUUAGAUUUCUUAUCAGAAAACGUGGAGGCAGAAGGGAGUGGCACAAUAUUUUUCAAGUGAUGAGAGAAAAGAACUGUCAACCCAGAAUUCUAUAGCCAGUGAAAACAACCUUGAGGAAUAAAGGGGAAAUCAAGACACUCUCAAGAGAAGGAAAGCUAAAAGAAUUUGUUGUCAGCAGAUCUACCCUCAAAUAAUGGCUUAAGGAAGUUCUGUAAACAGAAGGGAAAUGAAAAAAGAAGAAAACUUGGAACAUCAGGAAGGAAAGGAGAACAAGAGAGUAAAACUAUGAAUUAGAAUAAUUUGCUUUCCUUUAGUCUUUAGUCUUCUAAAUUAUAUUUCAUGAUUGUGGCAAAAUUAGAACAAUUUCUGAUAUGGUUAUCAAUGCAUGCAGGGGAAACUUUUUAGAUAAUUAUAUUAUAAAUGGGAGAGGGUAAAGAGAGGUAAGAUUUCAUUCACACUGGCAAAAUGUUUGUGGUAGACUGUGACAGGGUGCAUAUAUAAUGUAAUACCUAGAGUCUUCACUAAAAAGGUUAUACAAUGGGAUAUACUUAGAAACACUAUAGAUAAAUCAAAAUAGAAAAAAAAAGUUCAAUUAACCUACAUGAAUGCUGGAAAAAAUCAACUAAAACUGAAACAAAAAGAUGAAACAAACAGAAAAUAAAAACCAAAAUGACAGACACAAUCUCUCACCUAUCAGUGAUAUGGCAAAGGCAUUACGCUGAGUGAAAAAAAAAAAAAAAGCUUUUCUCCAAAGGUUGCAUACUGUAUAAUUCCAUUUAUAUAACAUUUUCAAAAUUAUACUGAUGGACAAGAAAUGAGCAGUUGCCAGGGGUUCAGGAUGGGGGGUGGGGUGGGUGGGUGUAACUACAAAAGGGUAACAUGAAGGAGAUCAUUGUGGUGAUAGAACAGUUAUGUAACUUGGCUGGGUGGUGGUUUCAUGAGUCUACAGAUGUCAUAAAACAGCAUGGAACUGUAAACACACAUUGUACCAAUGUCAAUUUCCUAUAGUUUUGUAAGAUAUAACCACUGGGGGAAACUGGAUGAAGGGUACAGGUGACUGCUCUGCACUAUCUUUGCAAAUUCCUGUGAAUGUAUAAUUAUUUCCAAAUUAAAUGUUAAAAAGUUGUUAUUCAAGAACAAUGUUUUGAAAGUUAUGAAGUAAAUAUGCACCUAGUGCUGUCGUAAUGAGGAAACACAGGGCCUAAUUCAAUGUAAACAAAUCAGGACAACUUGACAGAAGAGGCAACAUUUGCACUGAAACUUGCAGGACAAAUGUUUGUCAAGCAAAGCGCAAAGCUGACUGGAGCAUUUCAGGGUUAUGGGAUUGUAUGCGGCCAAAAGAGGAAAACAUCCGGAGGAGGGCGCGCGGCUCAUUAUGAACAGGCUAUGCGGUCCCGUGGGAGAGCGGCAGUUCUAAUGAAUGAACAUUGACACCUCCACAGACAUUCCAUGGACACAAGUUUAUUUGCCCAUGUAUAUGCUGACUUAUGUCUUUCCUCCCCAGUACAGACUGUAUCACUAUGAUUUCAUGAGAAAAUAUUGAGAAGCGAGACACGUUUUUCUUUUUUUACAUCUCAUGCCACUGACCUUCAAUUAAUUAUCCUUUUUUAUCAUGGAUGCAUGCUCAAAAUUUUCAUAGAAGAAAGAUGAGAGAAGAAGCCAGGUAGAUGCUGAGGAAAGGUGGAAGUGGAUUUUAAACAUUUAUUAAAUAAUGGGUGAAGUUACCAUUAAAAAAAGUACAACGACUACCAAAAACCAUUGAUCCUGUGGGAUGGAAAAUAGCUACAGUGUCCAUGGGGGGCUGGAUGUACACAAACGCAGGAUCUUGGGCCUUGUAAGAGGUUCCAUUCAGGGAGACAAUACGCUACCAUCAGAAAAUCAAUACAAAUGCUAACUUUUUCUUCUAGUUCCAGGUUACAUUCGAAUGAUUGGAAGGAUUGACCUGCAUCUGUAGGAAAAAGAAUGAAGCUAUUGUUUGUCAGUAUGCGUCAAAUAUUUCAUUAAUUCAUUCACCCUUUCCUUUAUCCAAUAUUUAUUGAGUAUUCAUGGUGUGUCAGGCAUUCUUCUAAACACAGGGGCUUUCAAAACUUAAAACCAAGGAAAGAAAUUUGCCACAUAUGAGUUUCAGAACUUUUACAUCUAAAAAAUAUGGAAACAUGAUUAUGAUAUUAAACAAACUGAGGAAAAUGUUGGCCCCAAAUAGGAAAGACAAAUGGUUACUAUCCUUAAAAUACAAAGAGCUCAUAUAAUUUUGCAAUUGAAAAAUUGGUAUAAAACUAAAAUAGAUAGUUCAGCGAAGAUAUAUAAACUGUUUUUUUUUUUUUUUUUUUUUUUGCGGUACGCGGGCCUCUCACUGUUGUGGCCUCUCCCGUUGCGGAGCACAGGCUCCGGACGCGCGGGCUCAGCGGCCAUGGCUCACGGGCCCAGCCGCUCCACGGCAUGUGGGAUCCUCCCGGACCGGGGCACGAACCCGCGUCCCCUGCAUCGGCAGGCGGACUCUCAACCACUGCACCACCAGGGAAGCCCCCACUGUUAAUAAAUAUUGGAAGUGAUGCUCAUUCUCACUAUUGAGCAAAAUACUUUCCACUAUUACAGGAAAUAAAAUAUCUACUGUCUGUCAUACAGAGUGAAGUAAGUCAGAAAGAGAAAAACAAAUACUAUAUGCUAACGCACAUAUAUGGAAUCUAAAAAAAAUGGUAUUGAUGAACCUAGUGGCAGGGCAAGAAUAAAGACGCAGACGUAGAGAAUGAACUUGAGGACAUGGGUGGCGGGGCAGGGGAAGCUGGGACUAUGUGAGAGAGUGUCAUGGACAUAUAUACACUACCAAAUGUAAAAUAGAUAGCUACGGGAAGCAGCCGCAUAGCACAGGGAGAUCAGCUCGGUGCUUUGUGACCACCUAGAGGGGUGGGAUAGGGAGGGUGGGAGGGAGACGCAAGAGGGAGGAGAUAUGGGGAUAUAUGUAUAUGUAUAGCUGAUUCACUUCGUUGUACAGCAGAAACUAACACAACAUUGUAAAGCAAUCAUACACCAGUAAAGAUAAAACAAAUACGCUGUUGCCAAGGGUGAGCAGAUAUAUGCACAAAUAAGUUCAAAUUUUUGAAAAGUCUUUUCUCAACAUGAGUUCAGAGUCUAAAAAUGUUCAAUAACUUUGCUCUAGAAAUGGUACUCUAAGGAUUUUUCAUGAAGAAAUAAUAAAAAGGCAGACAAAGAAUUAUAUAUGUGGAUAUUCAUUUAGAUAUUAGAAUAAUUUUUAAACAACCUAAAUUCUAAUGAGGCAGUGAUAAAAUAAAGAACACCAAAUUCACAAACGGUACUAUUAAGUAGACACUGAAAAUAGUAUUUCGAAGACUGACAUGGUAAAAUACAUAAUCUAUAAAUAUCAAAUAAAAUGUCAGGAUACAGAUGUAUGAUUGUUUUGUAAAAUACUGUUAAGUAUAUUUUUAUUUUCCUUUCUAUACUUUUCUGUAUUUUCUAAAUUUUCUACAAUAAACAUAUUUUACUUUUAUAAUUGGUAAACCAGCUAUAAUUUUAAUAUAAUUAUAUGAUAGCUCAUUAAGGAAUUAUGUAUCAAAAUUAAUUUUUCUAACAAUGUUUCAGUAACUGAAUAUAAUGUUUCUUCAUAGAAAAUUAUUAAUUCCUAAUUAUUAUGUAUUUAUUUGCUUCUUAUCUAUCUUCCUUAGUAGAAUGUCAGCUUCUAUCUCUGUGUUUGUACUACAAUUCUAUGUAACAGAACUUUCUGCCCCAAAGGAAAUUUUCUAUAUCUGUACUGUCCAAUACAGUAGCCACCAGACAAACACAUGUAGUGACUGAGUACUUGAAAUGUGGCCAGUGCAACUGAAGAACUGAAUUUUUAAUUUUAUUUAAUUUUGUUUAAUUUAAAUGUAAAUUUAUAUAGCCAAACACUGUAUUGAACAAUGUAAUUCUAGAGCCCAGAAUAGUGCCAGGUAAAGAGUAGGUGCUAAAUAAACACUUGUAUAGUGUUUGGAUAGAUAAGUGAAAUUAUUUGAUGAUUUGGCCUCUUUUUUAAAAAAAUUUUUAUGGGAGUAUAGUUGCUUUACAAUGUUGUGUUAAUUUCUACUGUACAGCAAAGAGAAUCAGCUAUGCUUACACAUACAACUUUGGCAUCAUUUGAUGACAUUGGGAUAAGAACAGAGAUAAAGUUGAUAUUAUCCAACAUAUAAUAUUAAUAUUCCAGUUUGGAAGUUGUUGUCCCUAAUAUCAAAAUGAAAUGGGAAAUGGUGGCUCUAAUGAUACUUACUAAUAAAUGCUUAAUAGCACUAUAGAUAUGAAAUCAUUUAAUCCUCCCAAUCUCAAAAAGUAAGUAAAAUCAUUUCCCCUCAUUUUACACAUAAGGAAACAGAGCACAGAGACGCAAGGUAACUUACUCAAGCACACACAGCUAAUGGAGCCAGGGUUCAAAUCCAGGUAGUCUGGGUUCACCUGUGUUCUUAGCCUCUGUAAUUUAAUGUUUAGAUAUGUUUCUAAUGACUAGGGCGGUGUUUGGUGUCAAAGCUACAGGUCUAACAUUACAGCGGACCAAGAUGGAUUUGGAUGGAUUUUCUAAGUUGGGCUUCCUGUAUUUGAGCACAUUAACAUAAUGCAUAGUGUCUUUGGUUUGGUUUUCAAUGCAUCUACACAAAGUCUUAAAAUUCAUCCAACAAACAUGUACUACAUGAAACUAAGUGCCAGAUAUUGUGCUAGGUUCUGGAGCUACAAAUAUAAAGAAGCUAUGUUUUCUUCCCUCCAGGAGUUCUUACACGAGUAAAGAAAGGUUCAUAAAAAGAGAUUACAAAAUGUGAUAACCCCUUGGGGAGGAAGAGAUGACAUGGUUCCAGAUGGCCAUCCUGAACUACAAGAGGACACAAGGUGAUGGAGAAAAACAAGAGGGAAAAAGGAGAAAACAACCUAUGAAAUAAAUUUAAAACCCUGGAGAACGUUCCUUGGUUUGUCUAGCUCUUGAAGAAGAAUCCUGUGGACCUUGCUCCUUCAUCGUGCUAGAGGAAAGAUGAUAGGAAAUAUUAAAACAGGAAAAGGAAGAGCAGAUCUUCUACAGGACAGUUUUAUUUCUACAAAAUGACUUCAGGUGCAAUCCUCCAGACAUCACCAAAGGCUUCAACUACAGAAAAUGAAAUGAAACAAAAGCUCUAAUACGAACUUCAAAGAAAGCAAACAGAUAAUUGGAUUUGGCUUAUAAGAAACAUGAGAAAAGAAGAUUUACAAGCAACCUAUGCUAGAUUUAAGAUCUUCUACAGAGAAUUGACUUAAUGUGGUCUCCAUCUUCUCCACUGACAGAAUCCCAUGAUUUGGACUAGUGCAAAAUGAGAGAAUUGGAUUAGAUGUAAAAGGUUUCUAGAAAAAACUCUGAGUCUUCCGCCCUGAUGAUCUAUGAGUAGGAAAUGUGAUAAUAUAGCAGCCUACCCAGAGAGCUUUAUUCCAUGCUGCCUAUUUUCAGAAGGAAUAAUGACUUCCCAACUGGAGAGUCACCAUGUUCAUCACUUACAGAGGCUGGGUACUUGGCAAUCUCGACCAAAAUAUUAGCUAAGGAUACCUGGGUAAUAAAGGAAAGCCUUCCUUAUUGAUAUUUGCAAAUUACAACAAGUCUUGAUGUGGCUUUGAGUUAUGUAUCACCUAUAUGAUCUAUUGUAAUUAGCUAUAUAUAUGACAUAUAACUGUACAUAUGACACCUAUGCACACGACAGAUAUGUGUAGAUGUAUAUUACCUAUAUGAAAGAAUAUUUGGAAAAUUUUCUUUUCAAGAAAGUAUUUCUGUAGAUUUGGAGACAGUUUUCUUGCUCCACAAUUGUGUAUUUCUCCUCUUAUUCAAAAUACUCUUCCGUGUAAGAAAGUGACCAAGGGGACUUCCCUGGCGGUCCAGUGGUUAAGACUCUGUGCUUUCACGGCAGGGGGUGCGGGUUCGAUCCCUAGUCAGGGAAUUAAGAUCCUGCAUGCCGCGCAAAUGCGGCCAACAAAGAAAAGAAGAAAAAAAAGAAAGUGACUAAAAUGCAAUUGUCUUCCUCAUCAAAGGAAAUUAGAUUGAUUAUAUUAUAAGUCUCCCUCUCUCCACCAAGUCGAACAAUAUUAGCCUCCCGUUUCAUCCUAAAACAAAAAGCCUUCAGGAGCAGGGGUGAAGGGGCCACAGGAAAGAGGUACACUGGAAAGAACCCUGAAAUGUGGGACCCAUUUCCACCUUUGCCCUGGAGCAGCUGUGUGCCUUUGGGCAAAUCAUGUGACCUCUUAGGGCUUCAGCUUCCUGGUCUGUAGAAUGUAGAGUUGAACCAGAGAGUUUCUUAGGCGUGUGUGCACAGAAGAAUCACGUGUGUCUACCCAGUGUGCACAGAAGAAUCACCUACAGUCUUCGAAAGAGAUGAGUUCCUUGAAAUAGGUAAUGGUGUUUUAAACCCAGAGCUUACCACAGGAUGUGACGCGUAGUUAAGGUUGCCAGAUUUAGCAAAUAAAAACACAGGAUGUUCAGUUAAAUUUGGAUUUCAAAUAAAUGAUGAAUACAUUUUUAACAUUAGUAUGUCCCAAAUAUUUAUCUGACAACCUGACACAUAAAGGAAGUCAAAGUUUGUUCAUGUGAUGAACUUACAUCACGAAGCCUCUACUGGUGGGAAUUUUAGAUAAAGAAUGGGAAGUGGUAGGGGUGUGGAAGUGGGUGUGUUUCAGUAGUUUUUCGGUCAUACCACAUGGGGAGUCUCAUGCUUUUUUUUUCAA